rnacentral:lncRNA from 1 species
AAUGAACAAGUAAUUUUAAUUUACUCCCGCAAACAUAUGCAAAUAUAUUCCACCAAGAAUAUUAGUCGGUCCUCGCUAUCAACCACAUCUAAAACCAUGUCAACAAAUGGAAACAACACCACCUUAAAGUAUCCACACGAGAAGGCUCCUUAUAUUUGUAUUAACAGAAGAGCAAAAAGAUAUAGCUGUAUGAUUUCAGCGAUCCAAAUCCGCACGGUGCAGCGAUGCGCAAGACUACCAUUUCCAAUCGGCACACAUCCUCUCUCCUUCCACUCACUACCCUGGCUACAACUCUGGCUGCUAGUUUUCUUCAUCAGAACGCAGAGCUCAGGGCACCUCGUGCUGCAUGUUGUUGCAACUCCUGGGAUUUUCCACUUCCACGGAAGUACAUGUACACUUGCUGCAUGUUGAGUAAGAGAGUUUGGUGAUCACGAAAUAGGAACAACAUCAGUUGCAAUGCAAGGAUCUAUUGGCUAUGCCGAUCAGUCAAAUACAAAUUGAGCAUUUCAUCCAAUAUGUGCCAAUGCAUCUGCUCAUCAGUAAGGAGGGGCUAACACUACAUUUUUCGAAAAGGAAGAUAACCCCCGGCAUCUGCAUCACUCCAUGCACACAACCGCCUUUAUUAUUAUCCAAUAGAGUCUGAAAACAUGAAUACAUGGAUCAACCCGAGGCCACCUAUCUCGCGAACAAACACGCGAUACCUACAAUUUGUAAUGUGCCCGAACAGCAUGAACGCAUACCAUCUAAUCUGCCUCACACAGCUGCACUGCAUUGGGCCAAGAGCACCACCUGUUCUGGGCGACCCGCAACACGCACCGCAUGUGCACGCUCUGAUCCGCUGCCGCCAUCUUCCAUCGUCCCAUAUCCAGGAGUGAUCUACGCUUUGACCUUGUCAGGCCCAACUGCCAUCGGCGCCACCACGAGGCCAGACAGUGCCACCAGCCUACACGUGUCCAUCAACCUGCAUCCAACACUGAGAACCACUUCGCCACGCCGCCAAGACCCAUCCUCUUCGAUGCGGUUGAUACAACACUACUCCACCUAUUGGCCCCUUGAGUUAGUACCUUCUUGAAAACAAUGCGCCCAAGAGGGAGAACGGCACCGAUGUCCCUGUCAUCAUCCGAUCAGGGAGGCCCAGAUCUAGGGUUCCCCCAGAGCAAAUGCCACUAGAGGGAGAAGGGCAUGCCAUCUGCUGCGGCCAACGAGCCCACACGGUUCCCACCACCACAAUACUCUCAUGGCAACGCCUUCAAGAAGGACACGGUGCCCAGAGCGUCAGCGCGGCCCACCGAAGUUAGGGUUUUCACCCGAGUAGUAGUGAGGUGGGAAGAGAUAGGACAGAACCGACCGGCAAACGUCUCCAAGAAGAAAACUAGCGCCCCCGAGCAUAGUCGCCAUCACGGUCGACCGUAGACGAUCAUGGAGUUAUCCUCAUCUGAAGCCCCCACCACCCGCUCCGCCAACGGCCCUAUGACCGGCUAGACAAGCAUGGCCAAGAUCCGGCCGAGGUGGAAUGCACCAUGUCGGGACGAGAUGCAACCGCCAGAUCCGACGUCAUCGGCCAUCGGGGCAACAAAGCUCCGGCCCAACCUGCAAGGUAGCCGUCGGUCACCCGAUCCAGCGACCUGCAACCCUCCAGCCCCUCCUCAACACAUGAGAGGUUGGCCUCGCGAGAGGGCCACAACCCUAGAUCCGAGCUCUCAACCCUAGAUCAGGAGGAGCAGCGCAAGCCCUGCCGCCAUAGUCCUUGGCUGCGCCGCGGGCUCACCCAGCGUCAGCCUCAUGUGGCGGCGAGGUGGAAGGGAGGAAAUUGGGAGUCCUGGCAGCGCAAGGAGGAGUCGCCCUAGAGGGGCGGUGCCGCUCGAGGUAAAUACUACAUAAUCAUAACCUUAUGAAAAACAUGAGAACUAAAACAUUCAAUUGGCUUUUGGUUGUUAACUAAUCAAGCGGUCAACGCAUUAUCAUGGUUGGAAUAGAGAGAUAACAGCACCACCUGAAUAACAUAUAAUUGGCCAUGCAGACUAAGAUCUUCAAAUAACAAGAAUUUAAUCAUCCCAAGAAAAAGGAGAGAAACCACACCACCUGAAUGACUCCUAUGCUCAGCAGUCAUUCAAGGCAGAACAGUCCAAAUCCAACAAAGUAAAAUAUCUGCCAAAUGAAGUUCCACAAAAAUAAGACUGGCAGACACAAUCUCGUCCAAAUGCAAUCUACGAAGUAAAACCCUGAUACUCAUAUGCGUGUGAGGUAUGCCGCAGUUAUGUGACACUCCAACGUUCGUAAUGCACUUUAUCAAGGAAACAAGAUGAUCAUCGUGCAACUCUGCUACACGAAGAAGACCUGGGAUAUGUUGAAGGCAGUGGUUACGACUUACGAGGACCAAAUGAAGGACAACAUUUGCCCUCGCUACUGCAUGUGAAGAGCGGUGGGGAUGGGGGAAGUCGGAUCAAGGGAGAAAGCGGCGAUGGAGAAGGAUUGUGGUGCGUGAUAUAAGAGACAUUUUUCACACAAAUAAAAAUGACGUGAUAUAUUAUUCAUGAAACUGAAGUCCAGGAGUCUAGAGCGGUUGAGCCGCAUAUCUCCAUAUAUGCAUGUGGUCAUGGACCGAUGGUCCGUCUACAAAUUACUAGUGUUACUCCAUUUAAACACACACAAUGUGCAAUCAUAGAAUGUUAAUCUUCGGAUAUGUAUGGAAACUAGAUGAUUGGUUGAAGAGUCGUAGUGAUACGUCAACUGGCAGCAGACAUAAGGUGAUUCAUCUGGAAUAGGAUGCACAGAGAAUUGCAGUUGAAGAUCAACACUAAGCACAUGAUCUGCUUCUUGCUUCUCCCGGAUACAUGUCGUGGCUAUGUGCUUCGUGGCAUGAGGCAGUAUGCCCCUACAGAAUGUCCCAUGCCACACCAUAUGGUUAGCAAGAUGCUAUGGACUAAUUGGUUAAAUUGUUACAUCUUGAAUUGAGUAUAUAACAAAGCGAACUGAGCAUAGCUCAGAUGAUUAGGUUUCUUGUGGUGGAACCUGCCCACCAUGAUACUAAGUCAUAGACUUGACACGGAUGGUCACAAUUUUUUGGAUUUAUUCUGGGCUUUCUGACGCUAUUCUUUGAUCAGUAUGGCAUGCUCGUGAACUAUGACUCUCCCAGAGGCGUUCGUAAGGGUAGGUGAGUGUGUGCGCAUGUUUAUGAGAGUCUAUGUUUGUAUUCUGUUACUUAAAAAUUGAUUAUAUAACAACCAUAUAUCACCAAUUCACACAUAGCUACAUGUACUUGCAAAACACGUGAAAAAUUAUUCGUAAAUGUCAUGCUCCAUCUUUGGUUGUUUAUUAAUCGUCCUUUCCUCCAAAAUAGAACAAAACAUGUGUUAUUACUUAUUAACCAAAAUUUCAUCAAGCACGGAGACUUGUGCAUAUAUGGUCCUUGCGCAUAGUGAUAUCAUUGUCCUCCAGCCAUAUCAAGAAAAAGCGCCAAAUUUAUAUUAAGAUAAGUAAGAAAAAAACAUGUUUGACUUCACAACCUCUCCCAUUGCAAAGUAAAUUAAAAUUUAGGCAUCUGCUUACUUUCAGUAAUAAGUGAUGCCUACCCUUUCUAGAGAAAAUAAUCACAUCAUAUCCUGACAUGCUGUUGCCAUCCUUGAUUGAUUUCCUUACUGGUCCCAUUUUCCUAGUUUAUAAACCGAUCACACAUUUUAAGAUUCAACUUAGACUAUCAUUCAAUCCAAUAAUUUAUAAAUUAUUACCAUAAAAAUAUACCAUAGGAACUAUUGAAUAUGAAUGCAGUGGCAUAAUAUUUGGAUCACAUAACCUACGUUUUGGUAAAGAAAAAAGAACUUUUAUGCUCAAGUCAGUAAUUCCUAACGCAAAACAACAGUCAUCUUUUGGUUGCUUUUAUUGUCCACAGGCAUGUGUGUAAUAUGGCAUUCUAAGUUUGCAUUUAAAUAUGGAUCAUCUCGGGGAGUCAAAAGGGUAGGAUGGUCAUUUCAUGUUAAACCUUAAUGCAUAUGCCUAAAACACCUUGUAAAAGUUAAUAGAGGGAAUGCUAACAUGAGUGCCUAGUAACAAAGCAAGUGCAUCAUUUUGGUUCUUUCUUGGUCAUCUUAGCGACUUGCCUCGUGAGCCCUGUAGAUCUACUCAUUACAUGUUCAUUGUACAGUGAAGCCAUGAAGAUUGAAAUUAGAAAAAAUCAUGUGGACUAGAAUCAAAUUGUCUUUGUUCUUAUGAUGCUCACUACUUCACUACUAGUAAUAAAUUAACAAUUUAAUAAUAUUUUGUAUUAAUGUUUCUAUUGAGUUACACAGAGGAUUUGGUGCCAUGGCCUAUCUUCCGUUUGCUAUACCGAGUUGGAAUCAAUCAACACUAAGAAGUUUUUCAGUUUUGGUUGAGUUCGUGAUAGCUUUGUCAUGGUUUUCUAGCGGCAUUCGCUUUAAGGUUGCCCAUAUGUAGAGAAACAUUGCUAAUUGCACCACUCAUGGUAGACUUAAAUGGCCAAACCAUUGGCAUGUGAUGUUUGGUGGAGAAAUGAUGUAUUGACCACACAAAUGUUUAACUCCUAGACUUUAUAUGCAUAUCUAUCUUCCCCAUGUGGUGGGAUCAUGUCUAGUUGCUAGGAGAUAAUGCCAAAGCAUAGGAGAGCAACACUGAUGAGCAUGGUGAAUGCACCGAUAGUCACAUAUCAUGACCUAGCAGGGAAUGUGAUAUAUCAAAACUUUGAUUUGGAGCCUAGUAAAAAGAAAGAAAAUCCAUGUAAGAGUGGUUGAACUAGCAAACACCCAUCGUAUGGUGGCUCUAUGUUGUCAAUUCAGUGCAAUUCAUCCUAGAGUAUUGAGUUGUUGAUUUGAUCAGUCAGGUAUACUGGUUGCAUGAUCUAAGACUUCACCGAUCUCUAAUACUUGAAAAUGGAAGAGAAUAUGUAUGCAUUGUAUCCAUGUUUUCAUAAGUGGAAUUCUAGUCUUAGUCCUAAGAACACACAGUUAUUUGCAUCUGUUAAUCGCAUCACCUCUUGCCUUACAUCCUUAGAGGGCAUGUCGCAUUACUAUGAUUUACAACGCAUACCUUUAUACAUUGUUGUUGCACCUAGUUAGCACAAUUAGAUGGCAUGAUAGUAAAGCUCACAGUUCAUUCGCUUGUUCGAAACAAAAAAUCCGUCGUAAAUAAACUCAAACCAUAUGAAUAAGGCCACAUAAGGCAAUGGAUGCAACAAUUUAGUUCGACCAUACUUGAUCUAUCUUAAUUAACAAUGAUAAAAGAUCCAAUUGUUCUGAUAUUACAAAUAACCCAUGCCCAGCCAAGGAAUAUCAUGGCCAUAAUUAUGGCACGGUGUAGCAAUGUGCAAGACUACCAUGCCCAAU